UACGAACGCUGGCGGCGUGCCUAAUACAUGCAAGUAGAACGCUGAAGAGAGGAGCUUGCUCUUCUUGGAUGAGUUGCGAACGGGUGAGUAACGCGUAGGUAACCUGCCUUGUAGCGGGGGAUAACUAUUGGAAACGAUAGCUAAUACCGCAUAACAAUGGAUGACACAUGUCAUUUAUUUGAAAGGGGCAAAUGCUCCACUACAAGAUGGACCUGCGUUGUAUUAGCUAGUAGGUGAGGUAACGGCUCACCUAGGCGACGAUACAUAGCCGACCUGAGAGGGUGAUCGGCCACACUGGGACUGAGACACGGCCCAGACUCCUACGGGAGGCAGCAGUAGGGAAUCUUCGGCAAUGGGGGCAACCCUGACCGAGCAACGCCGCGUGAGUGAAGAAGGUUUUCGGAUCGUAAAGCUCUGUUGUAAGUCAAGAACGAGUGUGAGAGCGGAAAGUUCACACUGUGACGGUAGCUUACCAGAAAGGGACGGCUAACUACGUGCCAGCAGCCGCGGUAAUACGUAGGUCCCGAGCGUUGUCCGGAUUUAUUGGGCGUAAAGCGAGCGCAGGCGGUUUGAUAAGUCUGAAGUUAAAGGCUGUGGCUCAACCAUAGUUCGCUUUGGAAACUGUCAAACUUGAGUGCAGAAGGGGAGAGUGGAAUUCCAUGUGUAGCGGUGAAAUGCGUAGAUAUAUGGAGGAACACCGGUGGCGAAAGCGGCUCUCUGGUCUGUAACUGACGCUGAGGCUCGAAAGCGUGGGGAGCGAACAGGAUUAGAUACCCUGGUAGUCCACGCCGUAAACGAUGAGUGCUAGGUGUUGGAUCCUUUCCGGGAUUCAGUGCCGCAGCUAACGCAUUAAGCACUCCGCCGGGGGUGUACGACCGCAAGGUUGAAACUCAAAGGAAUUGACGGGGGCCCGCACAAGCGGUGGAGCAUGUGGUUUAAUUCGAAGCAACGCGAAGAACCUUACCAGGUCUUGACAUCCCGAUGCUAUUUCUAGAGAUAGAAAGUUACUUCGGUACAUCGGUGACAGGUGGUGCAUGGUUGUCGUCAGCUCGUGUCGUGAGAUGUUGGGUUAAGUCCCGCAACGAGCGCAACCCCUAUUGUUAGUUGCCAUCAUUCAGUUGGGCACUCUAGCGAGACUGCCGGUAAUAAACCGGAGGAAGGUGGGGAUGACGUCAAAUCAUCAUGCCCCUUAUGACCUGGGCUACACACGUGCUACAAUGGUUGGUACAACGAGUUGCGAGUCGGUGACGGCAAGCUAAUCUCUUAAAGCCAAUCUCAGUUCGGAUUGUAGGCUGCAACUCGCCUACAUGAAGUCGGAAUCGCUAGUAAUCGCGGAUCAGCACGCCGCGGUGAAUACGUUCCCGGGCCUUGUACACACCGCCCGUCACACCACGAGAGUUUGUAACACCCGAAGUCGGUGAGGUAACCUUUUGGAGCCAGCCGCCUAAGGUGGGAU
rnacentral:rRNA from 1 species